rnacentral:rRNA from 1 species
GACGAACGCUGGCGGCGUGCUUAACACAUGCAAGUCGAACGAUGAAGCCGGAGCUUGCUCUGGUGAAUUAGUGGCGAACGGGUGAGUAACACGUGAGUAACCUGCCCUUGACUCUGGGAUAACUGCGGGAAACUGUAGCUAAUACCGGAGACUACUCUCGGAGGGAUCUCCAGGGGGUGGAAAGAAUUUCGGUCACGGAUGGACUCGCGGCCAGUCAGCUAGUUGGGGAGGUAAAGGCUCACCCAGGCGACGACGGGUAGCCGGCCUGAGAGGGUGACCGGCCACACUGGGACUGAGACACGGCCCAGACUCCUACGGGAGGCAGCAGUGGGGAAUAUUGCACAAUGGGCGCAAGCCUGAUGCAGCAACGCCGCGUGAGGGAUGACGGCCUUCGGGUUGUAAACCUCUCUUAGCAGGGAAGAAGCGAAAGUGACGGUACCUGCAGAAAAAGCACCGGCUAACUACGUGCCAGCAGCCGCCGUAA